GACGAACGCUGGCGGCGUGCUUAACACAUGCAAGUCGAACGGACAGGCCCUGCUUUUGUGGGGUGCUCGAGUGGCGAACGGGUGAGUAACACGUGAGUAACCUGCCCUUGACUUUGGGAUAACUUCAGGAAACUGGGGCUAAUACCGGAUAGGAGCUCCUGCUGCAUGGUGGGGGUUGGAAAGUUUCGGCGGUUGGGGCUGGACUCGCGGCUUAUCAGCUUGUUGGUGGGGUAGUGGCUUACCAAGGCUUUGACGGGUAGCCGGCCUGAGAGGGUGACCGGCCACAUUGGGACUGAGAUACGGCCCAGACGCCUACGGGAGGCAGCAGUGGGGAAUAUUGCACAAUGGGCGGAAGCCUGAUGCAGCAACGCCGCGUGCGGGAUGACGGCCUUCGGGUUGUAAACCGCUUUCGCCUGUGACGAAGCGUGAGUGACGGUAAUGGGUAAAGAAGCACCGGCUAACUACGUG
rnacentral:rRNA from 1 species